CGUCAAGUCAGCAUGACCUUUAUAUCCAGGGCUACACACACGCUACAAUGGACAGUACAACAGGUUGCCAAGCCGCGAGGCGGGGCCAAUCCCAGAAAGCCGAUCGUAGUCCGGAUCGCAGUCUGCAACUCGACUGCGUGAAGUCGGAAUCGCUAGUAAUCGUGGAUCAGCAUGUCACGGUGAAUACGUUCCCGGGUCUU
rnacentral:rRNA from 1 species